rnacentral:lncRNA from 1 species
AGUUGUGUCUUGUGAGAGUCAAAAGUUGGUUUUAGAGAUAUUAUGCUUGUUUUACAUUGUUUUGUAGGGUUUUAAGGUGAAUUGAUGAUGGAAGUGAAGUAAGGUGGACUUAGACCCAUGAAAGAAGGAGAAAAAUGAUGAAAAGAAGGGUCAAGUGAGCUGCUGAGCACCAGAAUGGACCGUUGAGCGCUCAGAGCGAUUAGAGGGAAACCGCUCAGCAGCAAAACUAACUGCUGAGCAGUCAAAGCGGCAAGAGGGAAACCGCUGAGCGGUGAACUUAGGCGCCUG